rnacentral:rRNA from 1 species
GAUGAACGCUAGCGGCAGGCCUAAUACAUGCAAGUCGAACGAGAUUACGAGGCUUGCUUCUUAUGAAAGUGGCGCACGGGUGCGUAACGCGUAUGCAACCUACCUUAAUCAGGGGGAUAGCCCGAAGAAAUUCGGAUUAAGACCGCAUAAAAACACAGGAUAGCAUUAUCCAAUGUUCAAAUAUUUAUAGGAUUAAGAUGGGCAUGCGUGUCAUUAGCUAGUUGGCGGGGUAACGGCCCACCAAGGCGACGAUGACUAGGGGAUCUGAGAGGAUGACCCCCCACACUGGUACUGAGGCACGGACCAGACUCCUACGGGAGGCAGCAGUAAGGAAGAUUGGUCAAUGGAGGGAACUCUGAACCAGCCAUGCCGCGUGCAGGAAGACAGCCCUCUGGGUAGUAAACUGCUUUUAUUCGGGAAGAAACCUUUCUACGUGUAGGAAGCUGAAUGUACCGAAGGAAUAAGGAUCGGCUAACUCCGUG